ensembl:lncRNA
UAGGAAGGGUGGGGGAGUUGCCCUCUAUGUCAAAGAGUGGAUAGACUGUGAGGAGCCCCCUCUGAGAAACAGUCAGGAACAGGCUUUCUUGCUCCAGAUGUGGGAGGCAUCGUGCUCACGGGCCCUCGUCCUGGUGGGGGACUUCAACCAUCCAGACAUCUGUUGGAAAGACCACAUGGCGAGCUGCAAGAGGUCCAGAAGGCUCGUGGAAUCCAUUGAUGACAACUUUCUGGUCCAGGUAGUGGACAGACCAACCAGAGGUGAAGCGUUGCUGGACCUGCUGCUCACCAAUGCGGAAGAGAUCAUCAAAGAUGUCAACGUUGGAGGCAGCCUGGGCUGCAGCGACCAUGCCCUGGUUGAGUUUGUGAUCUCGAGGGAUGUGGGCCUGGCAAAGGGUGGGGUCAGGACCCUGAACUUUGGAAGAGCGAACUUUAAGCUGUUCAAUGGAUUGUUGGCCAAGAUCCCCUGGGAUGCUGUCCUUAAAGAUAAAGAUGUUGAGGAGAGCUGGCUACUCUUUGAGGAUGCCCUCCUGAAAGCACAAGAGGUCUCCAUCCCUCUGAAUAGGAAGGUGGGCAGACGAGAUAGGAAACCGGCAUGGCUCGGCAAGGACCUGCUGGGCACACUGAGGGCGAAGAAAGGUGCAUACAAGCUCUGGAAACAAGGGUGUGUCACCUGGGAAGAGUACAGGGAUGCUGUCUGGACUUGCAGACGUAGGAUCAGGAAAGCCAAGGCGCAGGUAGAACUGAACUUGACGAGGGAUGUGAAGAACAAUAAGAAGACAUUCUAUAGGUACAUUGGCCAGAAGAGACAGGCCAAAACAGGUGUACCUUCUUUAGUAAAUUUAAAAGGAGAACUGGCUUCAAUGGACGAAGAGAAAGCUGAGGUACUGAAUGAGUUCUUUGCCUCGGUCUUCACUGGUGGCCAGGAUUCCAGUCUUUCUCACGUCCCUGAGCCCUGCACCCCC